UACGGGGGGGGCAAGCGUUGUUCGGAAUUACUGGGCGUAAAGGGCUCGUAGGUGGCCAACUAAGUCGAACGUGAAAUCCCCGGGCUCAACCCGGGAACUGCGUCCGAGACUGGAAGGCUCGAAUCCGGGAGAGGGAUGUGGAAUUCCAGGUGUAGCGGUGAAAUGCGUAGAUAUCUGGAGGAACACCGGUGGCGAAGGCGACAUCCUGGACCGGUAUUGACGCUGAGGCGCGAAAGCCAGGGGAGCAAACGGG
rnacentral:rRNA from 1 species